rnacentral:rRNA from 1 species
GACGAACGCUGGCGGCGUGCCUAAUACAUGCAAGUCGAGCGAAGUUUUUCUGGUGCUUGCACUAGAAACACUUAGCGGCGAACGGGUGAGUAACACGUAAAGAACCUGCCUCAUAGACUGGGACAACUAUUGGAAACGAUAGCUAAUACCGGAUAACAGUAUUUCUCGCAUGAGAGAUAUUUAAAAGUUGGUUAUGCUAACACUAUGAGAUGGCUUUGCGGUGCAUUAGCUAGUUGGUGGGGUAAAGGCCCACCAAGGCGACGAUGCAUAGCCGACCUGAGAGGGUGAUCGGCCACACUGGGACUGAGACACGGCCCAGACUCCUACGGGAGGCAGCAGUAGGGAAUCUUCCGCAAUGGGCGAAAGCCUGACGGAGCAACGCCGCGUGAGUGAAGAAGGAUUUCGGUUCGUAAAGCUCUGUUGUCAGGGAAGAAUGGAUAUGUAGUAACUAUACAUGUAAGAGACGGUACCUAACCAGAAAGCCACGGCUAACUACGUG